GGAGUUGAUACUGUUUGAGGAGGAAAGUUUCCUAUGAGGAGCCAGCAUCCAUUGGCACAUCCCUCACUAUGCCCACUGCUGUUGAAAGGAAGAUGAAGAGUGAGUAAGAGCAUUUCUUGCUCUUUGCAAAAGUACGGUGAAUAGAUCAUGCCUCAAAAAAAGCAUUAGCACACCAUGGGCAUUGGGCCUUAACAGCUGAAGGAUAGUGAAGGUAUCUGAAAGCUUCCUUACCUUUGGUCUGAACAGGACUGCGCCCCAGGUUCCAGAAGCAGUAUAGGCAGAGACUUCAAUGUAACACAUGUCAGAAGAAGGUAUUCAUGGAUGAUGGCCUGGGGAACAAACAAACACAGAAGCACUCCUUGAGUUUCUUCUCCCAUAGGAGAGGCUGUGGGAUUAUUUGUGUGCGCUAAACCUGGUAGAGUGGAGCUACAUCCCGAUUUCCAGCCUGUGCAAUCCGUAUUGCCAAACAUCAAAGCUGGUGGAGCUCUGCCAAGCCUGGCCCAGUUGCC